GGAGGAGGAAUCCAAAGGGAUCGCAUUGAUCCCAACUUAGCUAUUUUUAUGCAAAGUCUGUUUGUGGAUCAUGCAAUCUCUUUGGAUUUAUCCUU
rnacentral:pre_miRNA from 1 species